GACAGAGGGUGCAAACGUUGUUCGGAAUUACUGGGCGUAAAGCGCGUGUAGGCGGCCCGGAAAGUCGGAUGUGAAAGCCCUGGGCUUAACCUAGGAAGUGCAUUCGAAACUGCUGGGCUUGAGUUCUGGAGAGGAAGGCGGAAUUCUCGGUGUAGAGGUGAAAUUCGUAGAUAUCGAGAGGAACACCUGUGGCGAAGGCGGCCUUCUGGACAGUGACUGACGCUGAGACGCGAAAGCGUGGGGAGCGAACGAGGA
rnacentral:rRNA from 1 species